AGAAUCAACGCUGGCGGCGUGCCUAACACAUGCAAGUCGAACGAGAAAGUGGAGCAAUCCAUGAGUAAAGUGGCGACCGGGUGAGUAACACGUGACUAACCUACCUUCGAGUGGGGGAUAACCUCGGGAAACCGGGCUAAUACCGCAUAAAAUCUUUGGAUCGGAAGAACUGGAGAUCAAUGGAGCAAUUCGCUUGAAGAGGGGGUCGCGGCUGAUUAGCUAGUUGGCGGGGUAAUGGCCCACCAAGGCUUUGAUCGGUA
rnacentral:rRNA from 1 species